UACAUUAUAUUUAUUUUGCAUCGCUAACGCACACAAUAAAACAUACAAAAGGAUCAUUCCUGUAUCAAUUCAAUCAGUUCAAAUCUCAUAAAUGCACUGUUUCGCGCUUAAACACAUUGGACAAUUUUGAAAAACAUUCAAGAACAGAUUGACCAAAAACAAGUCGAACACACAAACGCCAUCUAACCAGAUAAUGUAGCAUCUUUGUAUGCAAAACAACUGCAGAAAUCAUUUCACAACCAACCACAGAGAUCAGCCGGACCAAAAAGUACUUUUACUGACUUCUAUGCAAAUUACGAAACUGGAGGGGGAAUUUCCAUACAGGAUCAGAGCAAUAAAUCACCGCAGGGUAGAAGAUAAUGAGAGGGGUGGAGAGGAGACAUUUUCUGGGAGGAACUUUCUUCUGUUAAUAAGAGGGACUGAAAUGGAUGCAUGAAGAUGCUGGAUGUAGAUAUGAAAUAGUAUGAUUACAGAGGGCCAGAGAUGGCAAAAACACUUGGAUUCAAAGCUGAGAGGUGUGUCAAGGCACAAUGUGUGAAGUUCAGUGCUGAUUUUGGUCAAAGCACCUAAAACCUUGCUGGUUGCAUAUCAAGAUUUUUUUUAUUUUUUCAAUUUUGCUCUCAGAAUUGGACCAAAUAAGAAGGUUAUAAAUUGUAAAAGAGUGUUCAAAUCGAAUCGGGACUUCUAUAAACGCUGGGAAUUAAAAAAGAUCUGCUAGUGUGAGAAAAAAAGAUUUCAGAGCUCAAACACUCAAGAGGUAGAAGAGAUUCUCUCUCUGCUGAGAUUAAUAUUCUUGUAGUAGAAACACUCUGAUGAUUAUCAGUUCUCAGUCACAGUAUUUGAUGAUCCAUAACGGUGCAAAUCCAGGCAUUCAAUUCACCAACACAUCAAGAGAAUAUGUUAUACUGUAUAAAAUGCGUACAUUAUGGCAUGCUAUGAUAUGCAUACACUGAAUCUUUUUAGUGGUUUUGAUGGCCAUUUGUACUUGCAAAAACCAAGUUUAUUAUCUCACGUUAUGAAUACAGGCAACCUUAUGUGAGUCACUUGACAUUUGAGCAAAAACAGACACGAUAUGCACUGAGAAGAAGUUCAAGCACAAUGGAAGACUGAAUUCAAGCAGCAAUUAUACUGUAAGUAAAUAAAUAAAACAUCUACAAUACAUGAUCUAGAACAGGUUUACAUAAGGUGGGAGGGAAAUGCUACGGAAAUGUUAUGGAGCUGGUUAUCGAUUUACUUACUUAUAGAUACAGUAUGUUCAUAUUGAGUUACACAAUACAUAAUGUAAUGAGUAAACUGGGACAUUGCGUUUUGUUUUGGUGAUGCUGUUUCAAGCUCUUUGUGCUGGUUAUACCCUGGAUUACAUUUCAGCAAAGAAUAGGUAGCAUUUCCAGCAUACUCCGAAUACAUAUUUUCAGUAAAAACAAAACCCUGUCUUCUGCAAGCACCCAGCGAGCGAUUGCUCAACGAGAAAUAAGACUUUUCUGAAUUCAGAGGGGGUUAAUGUCUAUGAAUUCAUCAGCACAAGUUUAACAUGAUUUACUGUAAACAUCAUUACGAAAUGAUAUGCUUUUCCCCUUACUAAAAAAAAAA